rnacentral:rRNA from 1 species
ACUCGGCGUAAAGAGUGGUUAGAAAAACCCCCAAACUAAAGCCGAACGCCCUCACUACUGUUAUACGUAUUCGAGAGUAAGAAGCCCUACUACGAAAGUAGCUUUACUAAACUUGACCCCACGAAAGCUGUGACACAAACUGGGAUUAGAUACCCCACUAUGCUCAGCCGUAAACUUUGGCAGCCCCGUACACGUGCUGCCCGCCAGGUACUACGAGCAUCAGCUUGAAACCCAAAGGACUUGGCGGUGCUUAAGAUCCACCUAGAGGAGCCUGUUCUAGAACCGAUAACCCCCGUUAAACCUCACCCUCUCUUGUUUUUUCCGCCUAUAUACCGCCGUCGUCAGCUUACCCUGUGAAGGCCCCAUAGUAAGCAAAACUAGCA